CAGUCGCCACGGUAAUACGUAGGGUGCAAGCGUUAAUCGGAAUUACUGGGCGUAAAGCGUGCGCAGGCGGUUAUAUAAGACAGAUGUGAAAUCCCCGGGCUCAACCUGGGAACUGCAUUUGUGACUGUAUAGCUAGAGUACGGCAGAGGGGGAUGGAAUUCCGCGUGUAGCAGUGAAAUGCGUAGAUAUGCGGAGGAACACCGAUGGCGAAGGCAAUCCCCUGGGCCUGUACUGACGCUCAUGCACGAAAGCGUGGGGAGCAAACAGGAUUAGAUACCCGUGUAGUCCCUGUCUCUUAUAA
rnacentral:rRNA from 1 species